AGAGUUUGAUCCUGGCUCAGGAUGAACGCUAGCGACAGGCUUAACACAUGCAAGUCGAGGGGCAGCACAGGUAGCAAUACCGGGUGGCGACCGGCGCACGGGUGAGUAACGCGUAUGCAACUUGCCUAUCAGAGGGGGAUAACCCGGCGAAAGUCGGACUAAUACCGCAUGAAGCAGGGAUCCCGCAUGGGAAUAUUUGCUAAAGAUUCAUCGCUGAUAGAUAGGCAUGCGUUCCAUUAGGCAGUUGGCGGGGUAACGGCCCACCAAACCGACGAUGGAUAGGGGUUCUGAGAGGAAGGUCCCCCACAUUGGUACUGAGACACGGACCAAACUCCUACGGGAGGCAGCAGUGAGGAAUAUUGGUCAAUGGCCGAGAGGCUGAACCAGCCAAGUCGCGUGAGGGAUGAAGGUUCUAUGGAUCGUAAACCUCUUUUAUAAGGGAAUAAAGUGCGGGACGUGUCCCGUUUUGUAUGUACCUUAUGAAUAAGGAUCGGCUAACUCCGUGCCAGCAGCCGCGGUAAUACGGAGGAUCCGAGCGUUAUCCGGAUUUAUUGGGUUUAAAGGGUGCGUAGGCGGCCUUUUAAGUCAGCGGUGAAAGUCUGUGGCUCAACCAUAGAAUUGCCGUUGAAACUGGGGGGCUUGAGUAUGUUUGAGGCAGGCGGAAUGCGUGGUGUAGCGGUGAAAUGCAUAGAUAUCACGCAGAACCCCGAUUGCGAAGGCAGCCUGCCAAGCCAUUACUGACGCUGAUGCACGAAAGCGUGGGGAUCAAACAGGAUUAGAUACCCUGGUAGUCCACGCAGUAAACGAUGAUCACUAGCUGUUUGCGAUACAUUGUAAGCGGCACAGCGAAAGCGUUAAGUGAUCCACCUGGGGAGUACGCCGGCAACGGUGAAACUCAAAGGAAUUGACGGGGGCCCGCACAAGCGGAGGAACAUGUGGUUUAAUUCGAUGAUACGCGAGGAACCUUACCCGGGCUUAAAUUGCAGAUGAAUUACGGUGAAAGCCGUAAGCCGCAAGGCAUCUGUGAAGGUGCUGCAUGGUUGUCGUCAGCUCGUGCCGUGAGGUGUCGGCUUAAGUGCCAUAACGAGCGCAACCCUUGCCACUAGUUACUAACAGGUGAUGCUGAGGACUCUGGUGGGACUGCCAGCGUAAGCUGCGAGGAAGGCGGGGAUGACGUCAAAUCAGCACGGCCCUUACAUCCGGGGCGACACACGUGUUACAAUGGCGUGGACAAAGGGAGGCCACCUGGCGACAGGGAGCGAAUCCCCAAACCACGUCUCAGUUCGGAUCGGAGUCUGCAACCCGACUCCGUGAAGCUGGAUUCGCUAGUAAUCGCGCAUCAGCCAUGGCGCGGUGAAUACGUUCCCGGGCCUUGUACACACCGCCCGUCAAGCCAUGGGAGCCGGGGGUACCUGAAGU
rnacentral:rRNA from 1 species